UUCUGCAGUUGCAUAUUGCUAUUACUUUUCAAGCCAGGUCCGCCGUAGUAUUGUUUAUGGAGAUCAACCAAGAAAUAGGUUGGAUCUAUAUUUACCGACAAAUACUGAUGGGAAAAAGCCAGUUGUGGUGUUUGUAACUGGUGGAGCGUGGAUUAUUGGUUUCAUGCUGGUUUAGGUAUAAAGCAUGGGGUUCUCUUUUAGGUCUGCAGUUGGC